rnacentral:rRNA from 1 species
AGUUUGAUCCUGGCUCAGAUUGAACGCUGCGGCAUGCUUUACACAUGCAAGUCGAACGGCAGCACGGGGCUUCGGCCUGGUGGCGAGUGGCGAACGGGUGAGUAAUACAUCGGAACGUACCCAGAAUGGGGGAUAACGCAGCGAAAGUUGCGCUAAUACCGCAUACGUUCUACGGAGAAAUGGGGGAUCUUCGGACCUCAUGCUUUUGGAGCGGCCGAUGUCUGAUUAGCUAGUUGGUGGGGUAAAGGCUCACCAAGGCGACGAUCAGUAGCUGGUCUGAGAGGACGACCAGCCACACUGGAACUGAGACACGGUCCAGACUCCUACGGGAGGCAGCAGUGGGGAAUUUUGGAAAAUGGGCGCAAGCCUGAUCCAGCAAUGCCGCGUGAGUGAAGAAGGCCUUCGGGUUGUAAAGCUCUUUUGUCAGGGAAGAAACGGCUCCGGCUAAUAUCUGGGGCUAAUGACGGUACCUGAAGAAUAAGCACCGGCUAACUACGUG